UGGAACUGAAGCAGACGGUAAUACCUAACACCACCUCGCCUCCACCAAACGAAGCCACCACCCACAAUCCAGCAUCCGUUGGCCAUUAAGGAGACGGUAAUACCUAACACCACCUCACCACCACCUACGAAGGCAACCUCCAGAAUCCAGCGUCCCUAUUAUCUUCAGGAAUGCUACACCUACGAAGACCUAAGAGCGAGAUUCACCUGCAACGUUACCCAUUCGUUCAGGAAUUUUACCCACGAGAACAUUUUCGAAUGUGCCUCGAGCCUGUGGGAAGUUAUAAGGGACAAAAGCAUUCCCGACCCCUGGGGAAAUCCGGCUGUGGCGGUGUCGAAGAAACCCUCUGUGCAUUUAGUCAUGGCGGGCGAUUCUCACAUUCGGAAUAUCUUCGAAGUGUUUCUGCGGCGCAUCGCUGGUCCUCGGGUCAAGUACCGUGUUGCCAAAAUGCAACCAGAUGAAUGGAAGGAUUCUGAAAACCUGUUCGCAACCUGGAAAUUGGAUGCCCACGAAUUCUUCCACGAACUCCUUCACUUGGACGUUCCACUGAGGAUCACCUUCUACUGGGAUCCUUUCCUGGAAACGCUUCCCCAAUUAUUGUCCUCCUGGACGGCUGGGAGUGAUAGUAAACCAACCCAUUUACUCAUAGGGUCGACGCUGCAUUACAUGAGAAGGACAAGCGCAGUUUUCUUGGGACAAGGCCAAAAGGCGGCCUCAAUGCAAUUCUUCAAUCACCUGAACACCAUCUCGCCUCAGCUGGAGAAGUUGUCGAAUACCAUACCUGUGGUCUUCAAGCUUCAGGAUCAUUUACAGAAAGAUCCCAGAAACAACAUCGAGAACCCGCAGAACAUCGACUAUUACAACCGCAUCGCCAGCGACCUGCUGCCGAAGAGUUCCUCCUCCUUCGUCGUGUGGAACAGCACCGUCCCCUUGUCGGAUCUCUACGCCGAGGAGUGCCUGAGGAAGGGCAGCUAUCUCCCUCGCACUGUAGACUGGCGGUGCGACGAUGUGAAGCAUCUCGGAUACAAAGUGAUAGACCAGUACCUGGAUAUGUAUUUAAACGAUAUUUGCUGUUGUUUUGGGAAGGGAGGUAUGAAGAUGACCUGAACUGCCAAGAAAUGGAGGUCAUGAAGCUCUUUCUAAACUGGCCGAAAGGGUUUACGUCUCGAGGUGAACGAAUAGCAAAAUUCUGACGACUGUUACCACAAGCUGUGGGUAGUACUACAGUCAUAUUUUCGGGGACAUUCAUAUUCAUGUGACGAAUACAGUGACCAUAUCUGCAUGAUCGGCCCGUAAGCAGAUCUUAGCGUGAUUCCGGAUUUCGUAAGGCAAAUUGCGCUACCAAAUAAAAACGCCGACUUAGCGGUUACCGAAGAACCAUGAAGCGCUAUUCAUGAACCUCAACUGCCAUCAAGGCUUUUAUGUGGAUAUUGAUUUGUGAAUUGUAAAGUGAGAUCGUUGAGCGUCCAUGAUUUUAAUGUGCAUUCGGAAAUGUCUUGUGCACGUCCCUCCCUCCCUUGACUUAUGACUGUCUUUGUUGCAGUGUUGUAUUUUUCGUAUUACUUAUUCAUGCAAAGAUUUAUGAAUUUAU